UACGAAGGGAGCUAGCGUUGUUCGGAAUCACUGGGCGUAAAGCGCACGUAGGCGGAUUUGCCAGUCAGGGGUGAAAUCCCGGGGCUCAACCUCGGAACUGCCUUUGAUACAGCAAGGCUUGAGUUCGAGAGAGGUGGGUGGAAUUCCUAGUGUAGAGGUGAAAUUCGUAGAUAUUAGGAAGAACACCGGUGGCGAAGGCGGCCCACUGGCUCGACACUGACGCUGAAGUGCGAAAGCGUGGGGAGCAAACAGG
rnacentral:rRNA from 1 species